GUGGUUCUCCUGGUUGGAGUGCAUUUAGUAGAGGUGCUACCGUUUUUCCUGGGGGAAAAGACUGAGUAGGCUCCAUCCAGCCGCCACGUUCACCUGUAUAGGAAUAAAGACACUGGCUGAGGGUAGCAAACCCUGGUGCCAGCUGUGUGUUGAGAUUUACCAUAAAUUCUGAGCUGCUGCUGCAGCUGGCCUGGGACAGGUCUGCCCUGGCCACAGGAAGGUGACUUGUAUAUGGAAGACACAGACACAUUUUUAUUCAAAUUGAAAGGGUAUUGUUUUGGUUGUGAAACCCUUGAUACUGGUUUUAUAGAAAAUUUAAAUGAUUUUGAAAUUAAGGAAGAUGGUGUCUUCAUAAUCACAUACUCCAAAUCUGGUGCUUUUGGAGACUAGAAAAAUCAGAUACCUGUUGAGCAGAAUGAAAGGUUUGAUAAGAUUUUCCAAAGGGAGAUGCAACAUUUUUCCCUUGAAGUUCAUCUGAGAUAUGAAUGAAGAAUAGAAUUCUCAGCAGUGCAAGACUAUUUUAAGAAAGCACUUUCAGGAGGAAAUAUAUUGAGUUGUAUACUUUCAUCCUGGACAGUCAUUGGCUCAUUAUUGAAAAACUUCAGUGAUUAAUAAACCUUAAUAUGCCACCUUUACAUCAUUUGCCGUCUGUGGCCUGU